UACGGAGGAUCCAAGCGUUAUCCGGAUUUAUUGGGUUUAAAGGGUGCGUAGGUGGCCUGGUAAGUCAGGGGUGAAAGACGGUAGCUUAACUAUCGCAGUGCCUUUGAUACUGCCGGGCUUGAAUGAACUAGAGGUAGGCGGAAUGUGACAAGUAGCGGUGAAAUACAUAGAUAUGUCACAGAACACCGAUUGCGAAGGCAGCUUACUAUGGUUUUAUUGACACUGAGGCACGAAAGCGUGGGGAUCAAACAGG
rnacentral:rRNA from 1 species